ACGGUUUAAGCCUCCGCUGGUGGAACUUUAAUUGGAAGGUAAUGUCUCAUCUGGCCUUAUACCCCAGGAGUCCACAGGGAAUUAUCCCUUACAGAAUGGCAUGAUCUAGGAUUGUCAGGAGAAAAUCCCACAAGAGCCACGGGCUGUCAGAAACCUACUUUACCGUAAAUGAACAGGCUAAAUGUCACAUUGAUUGGACUUGCUUUGGGCCACGUGAGAUGAGGAAUGAUUUGUAGUCCUGAAAACAGCGAGAUGGCAUCACAGCAGGGCAUUCUAGGACAGUAAGCAAGAGAGCAGAUGAGAACUGAGAACCGCUGCAUGUGGCCAGCUGUGGGAAAGCCAGGGAUCGCUACACCUUUGAUUCCCGUGCGUUGGAAGUACAAUUACUAAUCCUCAUCUUAGGGCAACCGAUCCACAUGCUUUGAGCCUCCAGAGUGGGAGAAGCAAACAGCAAGCAGUGUGCGGAACAAGAGAGCGGUCGGAUGAAAAGGGCAUCCGAUAAGCCUGAGAAAUCCCAGCAUGAAACUCAUAGGACACUGCAGCUGGUACAAGCUCGGAGAAAGGUCAAACUGUAGUCAAAUGUGUCCACUUAGAGACAAACUGGAUUUAUGCACAUAGUAUAGUGUGUGUGGUCAUUGAAUGUUUGAUCAGUGUUUCCUUAACCUCCACAUUUGUACACUUUCGUAGACACACACACACACACACACACACACACACACACUUGUGCUAAUGUCUGUCACUCUUUUAACCAUCAGUGUGCAUUUCCAUAAGCUGUGCGGAAACCUUUUAGCACCUUGACACACCACCCACAGUGUUUAAUUAACUGUCCUUCAGAGACAGAUAAGCAGCUUUCACUAUCACAUUUAAAAAAUAACAUGAAUCACAUAUCAGCUGACACACUUUUCUGUUCUUCUUAAAGCCUUGCCCCUUUCUGCUAUUUCAAAUUCCUCAAAUUCUAAAAUCUAAAAACUAAAAAUCUAAACUUUCAUAUAAUUGUAUUUGACUUUAGGUCCAAAUUACCAGGGCUAUAACCACCACAGACAUUGGUGGACAACCACAGGAGUCCCAGUAGCCCCAGUAUUUU
ensembl:lncRNA